AAAUUUAGGUUACCAUAAACCAAGGGCCUUCAAAGCCCCUAACAGGGCACAAAGCCCUAAUUUCU
rnacentral:tRNA from 1 species